GUGCCACAAUGUAACCUGAAUAUAAUCUUUUUGCCUAUACUUUUAGUUAUAGUUUUAGUUCAGGUGUGCCGCCAAAUUUUGAAAAGCAUAUAAGUGUGCCACAGGUGAAAAAACGUCCCUAGAAAACACACACA